rnacentral:lncRNA from 1 species
CGAAAUGAGAGGUUGUUGUUGCGUGGGCUGGCAACUUGAAAUCUUAUUUCCCAGCUCCUGGAUUUUCUGGCUGUAGCCCUUACCUUCUUAGCGCUGCGUUACUUCUCCUUAAUCCCCUACUCUUACAGAAUGGAGGCUUUCAUACCUGUUCGUGCAAAACUUCUAUCAACAAUUUCCCCCAAUGGUGAUAUUUCUACAGUUGAGCAUUUGGCUUUUUAUUCCUGAGGCCUGGGCAAGAUGUUCAAGCGAGUUCUGUGGUGACUGCAGAGACUUGAGCAAAGGCAUUACCUUAAGGAAAGAUGCCUCGGCUUCAGAAGAGGUGCUGGACAUCCCUAGGCUUGGCAAGGUUUUUGGACCUCAGAAAAAGCUCACUUGGGGUGCUGCAUUUGCUCAGCAAGACAGACCUCACAGGGCUUAACAGCCAGCAGAACCUCAUGAUUGAGGUCUGACAAGCAAAGGCUGGCUUCUGGGGGUCUAGCAAGCGAAAGGCAUGGAGCCCUCAAGGCUACCCUCGGCAAAGGCUGGAUUACUUGUGAUCCUGCAAGCGAAGAACUGUCCCUUUAGUUGAUACACGUGGCUUCAGCAUGCAUGUUUUCAUUGCUUGCUUCACAAGUUCAGCAUUUCCUAAGCAGGCAUAGACAAAGCAUAGGUUCCCUUUCAGGCAGAGAACACCUUGCGUCUGUAACAUCUUUUAGAAACUGAUUUAGGGAAGGCUUGCUGCUUUGAUAUCAUGUGGCAGCUGAAUUUCGUGUGUCCCUCACAACACUCGAGAGGUUCCAGCUUUAAAUUGUUAAUGCCAAGCCUGCAUGAGGAGAGCGAGAUUAGCAGCCUCAAAGCUUUCUUAUAUUCCAGGUCAAGAAGGAAACCACAAAUGGGAGUGUACCCUGAGUCUUCUCACUGGUGCAAAGAACCAGAGGAACUCAAGUUGCUUGUGAAUUGGUUAAGUUCAUAGAAGAAAGAAACCUCCCCAGGAGGCAGAUUUCUUAAGCGUAAACAGUUCCAUAAGAGGCAACAGAAGAAACAGCCACUGUGGUGCACGACUGAAAACACCCACUCACUAGGGGGUGUAAAUGCCAGGUUCCUAGCUACAGCCCAAACGGAAUAUAGAACUGGGUGUCAGACUCCAGGAACUACCAGAGGAAAUAGAAAUUAAAAGUUUGUGCAAAAUGGUAAUGUAGGAGGGCCAAAAUCAACCUGAUGAUGGUCAGUUUCUUCCAAUUAAAUUUAAUUCCACGGGUCAAUUUUUUCAUUACUUAAGCAGAGAAGAGUGGUGCCUGUAUG